UUAAGAAAUAUCCUGUAGUAUUGCAUUUUAUUAUUUUGUACAAAGCGUGCAAAACAAGACAUGGUGUCAGAGUAAAAGGUCUUAAAAGAUGGAUUUUUCUGGAGUUCCUUCACCUCGAAUGGACUGGGAGUCUACAAACUUACCCGAUGCAUGGCAUUGAAUUGACGCAAAUCCCUUAUAUGGUGACCCCGACGUGAUCUGGUGAAGGACCUCGCUGGACAUUGGAGUGCCAGCCAAUUGACCAUUGCUGUCGUCAGAUGGGUGUGUCUCACAACUCCACACCGGUCAAAUAAAAAGACUGCCCCACCACCACAGACUGCCCCUCCACCAUAGAAAG